CCUACGGGAGUCAGCAGUGGGGGAUAUUGCACAAUGGGGGGAACCCUGAUGCAGCGACGCCGCGUGGGUGAAGAAGCGCCUCGGCGCGUAAAGCCCUGUCAGCAGGGAAGAAAAUGACGGUACCUGAAUAAGAAGCCCCGGCUAACUACGUGCCAGCAGCCGCGGUAAUCCGUAGGGGGAAAGCGUUAUCCGGAUUUACGGGGUGUAAAGGGGGCGCAAACGGCGGUGUAAGCCAGUAGUGAAAGCCCGGGGCCCAACCCCGGGACUGCUCUUGGAACUGCGUGGCUGGAGUGCAGGAGGGGUAGGCGGAAUUCCUGGUGUAGCGGUGAAAUGCGUAGAUAUGAGGAGGAACACCGGUGGCGAAGGCGGCCUGCUGGACUGCAACUGACGUUGAGGCCCGAAAGCGUGGGGAGCAAACAGGAUUAGAUACCCGUGUAGUC
rnacentral:rRNA from 1 species